CAACCCUCAAGCACUGCUUGGUGUUGGGCCUCGCCGGUCACCCGGCGGGCUCUAAAAUCAGUGGCGGCGCCGUCGGGCUCUGAGCGUAGUAAUUCUUCUCGCUACAGGGUCCCGGUGGAGGCUGGCCAGCAACCCCCAACUUUCUAU
rnacentral:misc_RNA from 1 species